UGCAAGUCGAGCGCACUGGCCCAACUGAUAUGACGUGCUUGCACUGAUUUGACGAUGGAUUACCAGUGAGCGGCGGACGGGUGAGUAACACGUGGGCAACCUGCCCUAAAGCGGGGGAUAACAUUUGGAAACAGGUGCUAAUACCGCAUAACUACGAAAACCACAUGGUUUUCGUAUCAAAGAUGGUUUCGGCUAUCACUUUAGGAUGGGCCCGCGGUGCAUUAGCUAGUUGGUAGGGUAACGGCCUACCAAGGCAAUGAUGCAUAGCCGAGUUGAGAGACUGAUCGGCCACAAUGGAACUGAGACACGGUCCAUACUCCUACGGGAGGCAGCAGUAGGGAAUCUUCCACAAUGGGCGCAAGCCUGAUGGAGCAACACCGCGUGAGUGAAGAAGGGUUUCGGCUCGUAAAACUCUGUUGUUGAAGAAGAACGUGCAUGAGAGUAACUGUUCAUGCAGUGACGGUAUUCAACCAGAAAGUCACGGCUAACUAC
rnacentral:rRNA from 1 species